rnacentral:rRNA from 1 species
AACGAACGCUGGCGGCAUGCCUAACACAUGCAAGUCGAACGAGACCUUCGGGUCUAGUGGCGCACGGGUGCGUAACGCGUGGGAACCUGCCCUUAGGUUCGGAAUAACUCCCCGAAAGGGGUGCUAAUACCGGAUAAUGUCUUCGGACCAAAGAUUUAUCGCCUUUGGAUGGGCCCGCGUUGGAUUAGCUAGUUGGUAGGGUAAAAGCCUACCAAGGCGACGAUCCAUAGCUGGUCUGAGAGGAUGAUCAGCCACACUGGGACUGAGACACGGCCCAGACUCCUACGGGAGGCAGCAGUGGGGAAUAUUGGACCAUGGGCGAAAGUCUGAUCCAGCAAUGCCGCGUGAGUGAUGGAGGACUUAGGGUUGUAAAGCUCUUUUACCCGGGAUGAUAAUGACAGUACCGGGAGAAUAAGCGCCGGCUAACUCCGUG